AGAGUUUGAUCAUGGCUCAGAUUGAACGCUGGCGGCAGGCUUAACACAUGCAAGUCGAGCGGUAACAGGAGAAGCUUGCUUCUCGCUGACGAGCGGCGGACGGGUGAGUAAUACUUAGGAAUCUACCUAGUAGUGGGGGAUAGCUCGGGGAAACUCGAAUUAAUACCGCAUACGACCUACGGGAGAAAGGGGGCAACUUGUUGCUCUCGCUAUUAGAUGAGCCUAAGUCGGAUUAGCUAGAUGGUGGGGUAAAGGCCUACCAUGGCGACGAUCUGUAGCUGGUCUGAGAGGAUGAUCAGCCACACCGGGACUGAGACACGGCCCGGACUCCUACGGGAGGCAGCAGUGGGGAAUAUUGGACAAUGGGGGCAACCCUGAUCCAGCCAUGCCGCGUGUGUGAAGAAGGCCUUUUGGUUGUAAAGCACUUUAAGCAGUGAAGAAGACUCCAUGGUUAAUACCCAUGGACGAUGACAUUAGCUGCAGAAUAAGCACCGGCUAACUCUGUGCCAGCA
rnacentral:rRNA from 1 species